AGGGAUGUGGCUCAGUGAUGGAGUGCUUGCCUAGCAUGCAGGAGACCCUGAGUUCAAACUCAGUAAUCCGC
rnacentral:tRNA from 1 species